rnacentral:rRNA from 1 species
GAUGAACGCUGGCGGCGUGCCUAAUACAUGCAAGUCGAGCGAACGGACGAGAAGCUUGCUUCUCUGAUGUUAGCGGCGGACGGGUGAGUAACACGUGGAUAACCUACCUAUAAGACUGGGAUAACUUCGGGAAACCGGAGCUAAUACCGGAUAAUAUUUUGAACCGCAUGGUUCAAAAGUGAAAGACGGUCUUGCUGUCACUUAUAGAUGGAUCCGCGCUGCAUUAGCUAGUUGGUAAGGUAACGGCUUACCAAGGCAACGAUGCAUAGCCGACCUGAGAGGGUGAUCGGCCACACUGGAACUGAGACACGGUCCAGACUCCUACGGGAGGCAGCAGUAGGGAAUCUUCCGCCAUGGGCGAAAGCCUGACGGAGCAACGCCGCGUGAGUGAUGAAGGUCUUCGGAUCGUAAAACUCUGUUAUUAGGGAAGAACAUAUGUGUAAGUAACUGUGCACAUCCUGACGGUACCUAAUCAGAAAGCCACGGCUAACUACGUG